ensembl:processed_transcript 4930404I05Rik uncharacterized LOC110329568
UUGGAAACACAGUUUAAGGCCCAAAUACAUAUUUGUGUUUGUUUUAAUUAAUGAGAAUGAGUGCUCUGAAAUUUGAUUCCCCUUAGGAGCCAAUAAAGAUUAAUAACAACAACAACCCCUCAUCCAGAAUGAAUAUGUAAAGAUAAGACCUACUCCUGCGAUACCUACAGAACUGACGGACAAAGUAGAGCAUGACACUGUCUUACUCAAGUACACACUGGCCUGUUAACAGCCUCACCGUAUGGACCACUGUAUGUAUGCUCUGAACUUAGUUACCAGCAAAAUACAACAAAAGACAUCUUUAAAAAUGAAUUUAAUGCUUGGCUAAAGCUUAAUUACAUAUAUAUAUUUCAAAUGAUAGCCCUGAAUUUCUGAAAAGUUACUCUUCUGAAAAAUCACAGAAUCAGAAAGCAUCAACCUUAAAACAAGUUUCUCUGAGUAUUUACAGUGUGGUAUAAACAUUACAGAAUACCAUGGAGAGUAAAUUGCCUGGGUGUGUCUGAUCAGCAAGGCAUGUUCUUUAUUGCAUAUAUAACUCACAUAUGUGGGAUUCAAAACAGGAGAAACUAUAGAAAUGCGUAUCUAUAUCUGGGCAGUGAAGACAACAGCGAGCAAGGACAGUCAGCCCAGGCCAUGCAGUUAGUUUGUGGUGUAUCCUACCCCACACCACUGCAUAUGUCACCUUGGGCUCGUAUUAAACCCACAGCUGCCGCCAGGGCUGAGUCCCAGAAGUUCCACACUCACUCAAUGACAAAGUCUUAUUUCCGUUUUCAUUUUAAGGCAGCACAGCUACAGUGACAGCAACACUAGCCAAAGUAGGGGUGAAGGUCCGUCACCUGCCAGCGCUUCUGCUGCAGCAGCGCAGGGUUUCCCUAAGAUGAUUGCUAUUGCCUAAGUUCCUGCUGUUAAAAAGCUUCCUCUGUAGAAAAACACCGCAAAAUUUGCAGCAUGAAAAUCCAUGGUGGUAUAAAUAUACAUGCACACACACAGACACACACACAGACACACACACAGACACACACACAGACACACACACAGACACACGCAGAAUUAUACAAUUUACACUAAACACACAUCAUUUAUAGAGGAUACUUAAACGAAGUUAAUUUAAUGACCAUAUAAAAUACUUCCAUAAACAAAAUAUGACAGGCAGUAAGGAAACACCCAUAGACUCCUAGAAAUAAUCUGAGUUCCUUUCAUUCUGAAGAAAUCACAUUUAAGGACACGGUAUUAAUAUAAUGUUUCUGUAUUAAAACAAGAAUCAGUAUAUUACAGUUUAGGAAACUUUACAUAUAUACAGACUGUACACAACGGGAACGGCAGCAAAGCAAACACUCUUUGACCUCAGAGCUACUUCCCGUCCAUCAGAGACUUGACUUCUUUCACAUUGUGGUCACUUGCGACAGACAGAGCAUGAUCCAAAGCCCGAACACUUGCAAGAAGUUUUACUAUCUGCUUUAUAUUUUCCCUGAAAGAGAUAACAACAUUUGCAAUAUUAUAUUGAGACAAAAUUUGUUCUUGAUUUUACAACUAACUUAGAGAAUCUGCAAAACAGCCCUUCCAAGCAUAUAUUUUUAAACAUGGAGAACAAGACAUGAAAGCUACAGCAUGUUUUAAAACAUCUGCAGGGCUGGCAAGAUGGUUCACUUGUAAAGAUGCUUGCCACCAAACCUAUGCAGAGCCAAUCUCCAGAUCCCACUGGUGGAAGGAGAGAAUCAAAUCCUGGAAGCCACCCUGACUACCACACGCACACCACGACAGCACUGCCAUAAGCACUCUGCCUUACUUUGAAAAAACCCUGAAAUAUGAACAUCAGAAUUCUUGACUGGAUGAGUAAGUAUACAUCGCUGACUAAGGGGACAGCAGGAGCCCCACCCCAGGGUUAUGCAGUUCAGGGAAAACAGAAGGCACGUUGACCAAGCUCCACUUGUCCUGCUGCUGUGUGAACCAAGGCUUACAGAGCACUCUGGCUGGCCCUGAGCUCAUCUGGAAGCCCAGUCAAUUCUUGAACUUUUGAGAGUCUCCUGACUCAGCCUCCUAAUCAGCUGUGGCCUCCGCCUUCCUAGAAAAUUUUUAUGAAAACCAGAUGUAAGUUGUUCCUAAACCAUCAUGAAAUGGCCUUUAGUCCAUAGUAUUAUGGAUCAAGGUAUAGAGUGAAGGCUGGACUCUUAACACAAGGCUGUAUUUCAGUGGGCAUUCUUUCUCCGUUUACAUCUCCAUGAUGACACCUCAAAAGCGAAGAAUCACUGCACCUAAACCUGUGAAUCUAUUCAGUUCCUCAGGAGACAACACUACAACCAAUCACUGCUCUAAGACUUACCAAAAGUCUUUCUCUAAAAGCUUCCAAAUUUAAUGUAUAGGGACAGGGGGAUAAAAAUUUAAAAAAAUUUUGGUAGGUUUGUAACACUAAAUAAAUGCACAAUGAAAGAGAAUAUGGGGCUGGUGCGAUGGCUUAGCGGGUAAGAGCACUAACUGCUCUUUCGAAGGUCCUGAGUUCAAAUCCCAGCCACCACAUGGUGGCUUACAACUAUUUGUAAUGAGAUCUGAUGCCCUCGUCUGGUGUGCCUAAAGACAGAUACAGUGUACUCACAUAUAAUAAUAAAUAAAUCUUAAAAAAAGAGAAUAUGAUUAGUGUAUACCUUACAUACACAAAUAUAAUGAAACUGUUUAAAC